rnacentral:rRNA from 1 species
AUUGAACGCUGGCGGCAUGCUUUACACAUGCAAGUCGAACGGUAACGCGGGGGCAACCCUGGCGACGAGUGGCGAACGGGUGAGUAAUACAUCGGAACGUGCCCAUUUGUGGGGGAUAGCCCGGCGAAAGCCGGAUUAAUACCGCAUACGUCCUACGGGAGAAAGCGGGGGAUCGAAAGACCUCGCGCUAAUGGAGCGGCCGAUGCCAGAUUAGCUUGUUGGUGGGGUAAAGGCUUACCAAGGCAGCGAUCUGUAGCUGGUCUGAGAGGACGACCAGCCACACUGGGACUGAGACACGGCCCAGACUCCUACGGGAGGCAGCAGUGGGGAAUUUUGGACAAUGGGCGCAAGCCUGAUCCAGCCAUGCCGCGUGAGUGAAGAAGGCCUCGG